GUGCCAGCGCCGCGGUAAUACCGGCAGCCCGAGUGAUGGCCGAUCUUAUUGGGCCUAAAGCGUCCGUAGCUGGCCGCGCAAGUCCAUCGGAAAAUCCACCCGCCCAACGGGUGGGCGUCCGGUGGAAACUGCGUGGCUUGGGACCGGAAGGCGCGACGGGUACGUCCGGGGUAGGAGUGAAAUCCCGUAAUCCUGGACGGACCGCCGAUGGCGAAAGCACGUCGCGAAGACGGAUCCGACAGUGAGGGACGAAAGCUAGGGUCUCGAACCGGAUUAGAAACCCUAGUAGUCC
rnacentral:rRNA from 1 species